GACGAACGCUGGCGGCGUGCUUAACACAUGCAAGUCGAACGGAAAGGCCCUGCUUGCAGGGUACUCGAGUGGCGAACGGGUGAGUAACACGUGGGUGAUCUGCCCUGCACUUCGGGAUAAGCCUGGGAAACUGGGUCUAAUACCGGAUAGGAGCCAUUUUUAGUGUGAUGGUGGAAAGUUUUUUCGGUGUAGGAUGAGCUCGCGGCCUAUCAGCUUGUUGGUGGGGUAAUGGCCUACCAAGGCGGCGACGGGUAGCCGGCCUGAGAGGGUGGACGGCCACAUUGGGACUGAGAUACGGCCCAGACUCCUACGGGAGGCAGCAGUGGGGAAUAUUGCACAAUGGGCGCAAGCCUGAUGCAGCGACGCCGCGUGGGGGAUGACGGCCUUCGGGUUGUAAACUCCUUUCGCUAGGGACGAAGCUUUUUGUGACGGUACCUAGAUAAGAAGCACCGGCUAACUACGUG
rnacentral:rRNA from 1 species